UUCCUUCCGCUCUCCCUUAUACUAUCAUACGAAAAUUGCACUCAAAGGCCCCAAGUGUCGAAAUCUCCCUUUCCCUCUCGUUCUUCCCCUCAAAUAGGACGUCUCCCCUCGAUUUUCUGUGAGGAUCUUACAAAGAUAGAGCUGGCAGCUUAUCCUCAAGAGGGAUUUGAAUUUUGAAAUCAAAACCCAUCCGUUUUCCGCCCAAAGUUUUUAUGCCCAUUUUUCUCUCCUAUAAAUAACAGUGAGAGAAAAGGGGAACUUUUUUUUCUUUAGCUUGAAAAAAUAUUACAAAAAGUAGAAAGAUUUUGAGUCAAUUGUUGUUAGCAAGAACUUAAGAUAAAAGGAAUUACUAUGUUAUAAUAUUCAUAUAAGAAACAUACGAUAAAUUUUUUUUGUUGUUAUCGGCUACCAAAUUUGUUGGAUUUCUUAAGCAUGAAGGUAGAUAUUGAAGUCGCUCCAAGCUCAUUCCCUUCUCCGGUUCACUAUCCGAAGAAGGUCUGCAUUUUUUUUGUUCUUGUUUAUUUUCAAAGCUCAUUAGUCGUGUUUCGGGUAGCUUUCAAGUUGCUCUUUUCGUGGUUGUUAUGCAAGCUCUUGAUUUCGGGAUGAAUUUUCUUGCAAGAUGCUCGUUUCUUUAUUUGUGUGCGGAUAACACAUCCCAUUUGAGCAUGUUUUUCUGUUCUAAAAGUUUAUCUCCGUCAACCUUGUUGUUCCGUAUGAUAUGAAGGAGUUUUGAUUAUUCAUUCUUAACCGGUAGCACUUGUUUAGGUGUUCUCUUUGUUAUUAGAGACAAUGUAUUUGGAGAUUUCUUCUAAAUGCUAAAGCAGUAGCUUAAGUAUU